rnacentral:rRNA from 1 species
GGCAGCARUGGGGAAUCUUGGACAAUGGGCGCAAGCCUGAUCCAGCCAUGCCGCGUGAGUGAUGAAGGCCUUAGGGUCGUAAAGCUCUUUCGCCAGAGAUGAUAAUGACAGUAUCUGGUAAAGAAACCCCGGCUAACUCCGUGCCAGCAGCCGCGGUAAUACGGAGGGGGUUAGCGUUGUUCGGAAUUACUGGGCGUAAAGCGUACGUAGGCGGWUUAGUMAGUCAGAGGUGAAAUCCCAGGGCUCAACCCUGGAACUGCCUUUGAUACUGCUAGUCUUGAGUUCGAGAGAGGUGAGUGGAAUUCCAAGUGUAGAGGUGAAAUUCGUAGAUAUUUGGAGGAACACCAGUGGCGAAGGCGGCUCACUGGCUCGAUACUGACGCUGAGGUACGAAAGUGUGGGGAGCAAACAGGAUUAGAUACCCUGGUAGUCCACACCGUAAACSAUGAAUGCCAGUCGUCGGGCAGUAUACUGUUCGGUGACACACCUAACGGAUUAASCAUUCCGCCUGGGGAGUACGGUCGC